AAUCAACGCUGGCGGCGCGCUUAACACAUGCAAGUCGAGCGAGAAAGCGGAGCAAUUCGUGAGUAAAGCGGCGUACGGGUGAGUAACACGUGGAUGAUCUACCUUUUAGUGGGGAAUAACCCUGGGAAACCGGGGAUAAUACCGCAUAAGCCUGCAGAGGGAAAGCAGAAAUGCGCUGAAAGAGGAGUCCGCGGCCGAUUAGCUAGUUGGUGAGGUAAUGGCUCACCAAGGCGACGAUCGGUAGCCGGCCUGAGAGGGCACACGGCCACACUGGCAC
rnacentral:rRNA from 1 species